rnacentral:tRNA from 1 species
GCCGGGAUGGCGGAACUGGCAGACGCAGCGGACUCAAAAUCCGCCGGAGGCAACUCCAUGGGGGUUCGAUUCCCCCUCCCGGCACCA